GACGAACGCUGGCGGCGUGCUUAACACAUGCAAGUCGAACGGUGAACCGGGCUUCGGCCCGGGGAUCAGUGGCGAACGGGUGCGUAACACGUGGGCAACCUGCCCCAGACACUGGGAUAACUCCGGGAAACCGGGGCUAAUACCGGAUACUCCGGUCGAACCUCAUGGUUCGAUCGGGAAAGCUCCGACGGUCUGGGAUGGGCCCGCGGCCUAUCAGCUUGUUGGCGAGGUAACGGCUCACCAAGGCGACGACGGGUAGCUGGUCUGAGAGGACGACCAGCCACACUGGAACUGAGAUACGGUCCAGACUCCUACGGGAGGCAGCAGUGGGGAAUCUUGCACAAUGGGCGAAAGCCUGAUGCAGCGACGCCGCGUGAGGGAUGACGGCCUUCGGGUUGUAAACCUCUUUCAGCGCAGACGAAGCGAAAGUGACGGUAUGCGCAGAAGAAGGACCGGCCAACUACGUGCCAGCAGCCGCGGUAAAAC
rnacentral:rRNA from 1 species